UACGUAGGGGGCUAGCGUUAUCCGGAAUUACUGGGCGUAAAGGGUGCGUAGGUGGUUUCUUAAGUCAGAGGUGAAAGGCUACGGCUCAACCGUAGUAAGCCUUUGAAACUGAGAAACUUGAGUGCAGGAGAGGAGAGUAGAAUUCCUAGUGUAGCGGUGAAAUGCGUAGAUAUUAGGAGGAAUACCAGUUGCGAAGGUGGCUCUCUGGACUGUAACUGACACUGAGGCACGAAAGCGUGGGGAGCAAACAGGAUUAGAUACCCUGGUAGUCCCUGA
rnacentral:rRNA from 1 species